rnacentral:lncRNA from 1 species
AUGUAUCAAAUAAAUUUUUGAAUAAUUUUAGGAAUUUGAAGUCACUGUUUUCCUUUCAUUACUUGAUGUCCAAUUAUAUAAGUUAUCAUUACAGCACAAACUAGCCAUUUAUAAACCAAUGGUGACUUAUGAAUGCUAACACAUUAAGUGGGAGGGGAUUUCAGUUCAGUAUAUAAUGUUUCAAACAGUUUUAAAGUCGAACAUACUAUUUGAUAAAAUUAAUAU